rnacentral:sRNA from 1 species
UAAGUAUAUCUUUAAUGUGUGUCAUAGU